AAACGUAAAAAGGUUUAUAAAAGGAAUAAAGUAAAUAAAUGCCACAACCGGUUAAGUAGUAAACUUAAAGAUUUAGACCAAAUUUACGAAGAGGUUAACAACCCGAAAAUGUUUGAUUCUUUAGUACAACAACCUGUUGAUCCAGAUCUACCAGGAUUUGGACAAUUUUACUGCGUGCCUUGCGCCCGAUACUUUGUUGCAGAAAAUGUGCUUUCUUCUCAUGCCAAAAGUAAAGUACAUAAGAGAAGAAUUAAGCAACUGAAGGACAAACCAUAUACACAACAAGAAGCCGAGUUUGCCGCUGGGAUGACUUUAGAAAAUAACUCAAGGGAACACUGAUUAAGAAACUUGACCUAGUUUUGUGUUUUUAGUAGAAAUCAUACACUACAGUCCUAAAUGUGCAUAAAAUAA